UACAGAGGGUGCAAGCGUUGUUCGGAAUUAUUGGGCGUAAAGCGCGUGUAGGCGGCAGUGCAAGUCGGGUGUGAAAGCCCUCAGCUCAACUGAGGAAGUGCGCCCGAAACUGCAUUGCUUGAGUACCGGAGAGGAUGGCGGAAUUCCCGAAGUAGAGGUGAAAUUCGUAGAUAGUCGGGAGGAACACCGGUGGCGAAGGCGGCCAUCUGGACGGAUACUGACGCUGAGACGCGAAAGCGUGGGUAGCAAACAGG
rnacentral:rRNA from 1 species